AUGUCCCGAAAUGGCGAAGAGCACACAAUUGCAGAUGUACAUUUCCCAGACAUGGAGUCACACGCACCUGACAAGACAGAGUGUGUGCACGAGCACAGCUCAACCGUGCAGCCACAAGCGACUGAAGGCAUCAUAGUGGACAACCCCGCUUCCUCAGAAGAGCCACCAUUAGGCCAAAGAGUCCGCAGAAUGACGGAAAAGGGUCAAGAACAGCAUGAUGAGCAAGUAAUAAAGGUUGCACAUCGGUUCAGUGUGUGCUAUGAGAAGUGGAAGGAUGCCACUAAAGAAGCCAACCAAGCGCUGAGUGGAAAGUGCUCAGACGACCUGCUAGAUGGACAAAUUACUAAAGUACGCAAUACCUCUAGGAGUCUAAAUGACGUUUAUGACGAUUGGAAACGCCUUGAGGUUCCUGACCUUAACACACGUCGCAAAAUCGACACCUGUGAAACAGUAACAAAGAAGAUGGUUAAGGAUGCAAUGGACCUUAUAGAUGCAAGGGAGGAAGCUACAGCCCAUAGGCAUACUACAAGUCAAAGACAUGAAGAACAUCGAGUCAUUGAAGAGGUAAUGUCUGUAGCCUCAGGAAGGACAGGCACUAGCUCUCGCCACACUAAGUGCUCCUCUGCAAGCAGGAAGACUGCAGCUGCUGAGGUUGCUGCCAACAAAGCCACCUUAGAAGUACAGCUGGAGCAAGAGCAUUAUAUUAAAGAGCUUCAGAGACUGGAAGUUGAAGCCGCUCAGCUAAAAGCCAAACAAGAGGCUGAAAAUGCAGAGAGACAAAGAGUGCUAGAAGCCAAGCGCAGAGAACUAGAUCGAUUGGAGACUAUUAAGAAGCUAAAGGCUGCCGAGGCACGACAGCAAGUAUAUGACCAGAGUAUACAUUCAUGUCCGGCAACUAAGGGCGACGGCUCAGAUGAAGAAAUAAAUUAUCUUCUCCAUUGUGGCUCUGUGAAGAAAGAAGAGGAAGUCAAGCCUCAAACUAUAAAUGUUCUUCUCCAUCGUGUCUCUGUGAAGAAAGAAGAAGUCAAGCCUCAAACUAGCCCACUGCGGCACCAUUCUACACCACCAGCUGUAGCACAAGCAAGGCAAGAAAACAAAUAUGAAGAUGGCACAACAGCUCUCGUCAAAGCGCUCGCAGAAGCCAUCAGUGCGAGUCGCAUUCCUCUACCUGAACCUACAGUGUUCAGUGGUGACCCACUCCGAUUCAACGACUGGAAAGUGUCCUUUCAGACGCUCGUUGACAGGAAGAACAUACCAGCUGAAGAGAAGAUAUAUUAUCUACGCAAGUAUGUGGGUGGAUCUGCUAAAAGGGCCAUAGAGAGCUACUUUUUACUUGGCACAGAGCCAGCAUAUUAUGCAGCAUGGGACAUCCUAGAAGAGCGAUACGGCAAUCCAUUCCUCAUCGCCAAGGCCUUCAGAGAGAAGCUCGACGCGUGGCCCAAGAUAAGCUCCAAAGGCAGUAUGGAACUUCAAGAACUCGCCGACUUCCUGCGCUGCUGUGAGGCAGCCAUGUCUCAGAUCAGAGGUCUUGAAAUACUUAAUGAUUGCAACGAGAACCAGAAAAUUCUCUCUAAACUCCCAGACUGGGUGACUUCAAGGUGGAAUAGGAAAGUCAUAGAAGCAGAAGAAGACACUCACAUGUUCCCGAGCUUCAGCCAGUUUGUCAAGUUUCUCACACGUGAAGCUAAAAUCGCUUGCAGCCCAAUAACAUCUCUUCAUGCUCUUAAGCCAAGUGAAAGGAUUCCAGACAAGUGUGUAAAGAGCGGAGGUCCUGGAGCAAAGGUGUUAGCAACCACCUCAGAUGAGAAAGCCGUCGUCACAAGCUGUGUCUUCUGUGAGAAGGCAGGACACAGUCUACAAAGGUGUUACAAGUUUAUGCAAGGGACAAUCUUGGAGCGAAUCAAGUUUGUUCAAGAAAAUAAAUUGUGUUUUGGCUGUCUCAAAUUUGGCCACCGAUCUAGAGAUUGUAGAGAAAGAGACAGCUGCGACACCUGUGAGAGAAGACACCCAACUUGUCUUCAUGACGAUCGCACCAAGGAAGAAAGGAUGUCUACAAGAUCUGACAGAGCAAGGUACAGUGACAAAGACAAAGAAGAGUACAAAGAAAGGAAGAAUGAACAGUCACAAGACCAGUCAGAGAGACCAUCACGUGAGGCGACGGCACUUAGAGUCAUCCAGAAUGUUGGAGACACGCAUACCUCCACAAUAAUUCCAGUGUGGGUGUCAUCUACAAGUGCACCAAGUCGUGAAGUUCUGGUGUACGCACUCCUUGAUACACAAAGUGACACAACCUUUAUCCUCGACGAGACAGCGAAGGCUCUCAAUGCUAGGAGUGAACCAGUUCAGCUAAACCUCUCCACGUUGGCUUCAAGAAACACAAUCGUGUCCUGUCGGAAGCUAGCUGGUCUACAAGUUAGAGGUUUUUAUUCAGACAAGAUAAUCACUCUUCCAGUGACUUACUCAAGAGAGUUUAUCCCUGCAAACAGAGACCAUAUUCCCACACCAGAUACGGCGAAAGCAUGGCCUCAUCUUGAACACAUUGCAGAUGAGAUCGCUCCUCAGCAAAGCUGUGAUGUCGGCCUGUUAAUUGGCUACAACUGUGCCCAAGCCCUCGUUCCAAGACAAGUGGUGCCUGGUGAGGAACACCAGCCGUUUGCACAAAAGACAGACUUGGGCUGGAGUGUAGUGGGAUAUGGCAACCCGUGUCUCAACUAUGGAGAUGCAAUUGGAAUAAGUCACCAAGUCAUGGUGAAGCAAGUGAUGCCAGGUCUACCGUCCUCUUCAGACCUCACAAAGGAAGUGCACUAUGUCUGUAGGACACAGAUCAAAGAAGUUCUCUUACCUGCAGAUGUCAUCAAGAUGCUGGAGUCUGACUUCGUUGAAAGAGAGUCGGAAACCAGCCCCAUCUCUCAAGAAGAUCUAAGGUUCCUGUCAAAAAUGGAAAAGAGCAUCAACUUAAAGAGCGACGGUCAUUACGAAAUGCCGCUGCCAUUCAAGAAAGAAAGACCUAACUUACCUGAUAAUAAGAUCUGUGCUAUCCAUCGUCUCAGGUGCCUAGAAAGAAGGCUGAGAAGAAACGACCAGUACUACAAAGACUACAAGACCUUCAUGGAUGAGACCAUAAGACGCGGAGAUGCAGAAAGGGUCCCGGAGGAAGACAUCCACAAAGCUCCAGCUUGGUACAUUCCGCAUCAUGGGGUGUAUCAUCCACAAAAGCCUGGGAAGAUACGCGUUGUCUUCGAUUGCUCCGCCAAGUACCAAGGAACGUCCUUGAACGACCACCUCCUGACGGGUCCUGAGUUGACAAACACCUUGGUGGGAGUUCUGUAUCGCUUCCGAAGAGGUCCUGUGGCAAUCAUGUGUGACAUCGAACGCAUGUUUCACCAGUUCCAUGUUAAGGCAGAAGACCAAGAUUACCUGCGGUUCCUUUGGUGGGACAAUGGAGAUCUCGAAAGCCAACCUUCCAUCUAUCGGAUGAAAGUCCACUUGUUUGGUGCAGCAUCGUCACCUGGCUGUGCCAACUAUGGGCUGAAGCAUGUCGCUGCUGAAGGACAAGGAAACUUUAGUGACGACACCAUAAAGUUCAUUCAACGGAACUUCUACGUGGAAGAUGGAUUGUCAAGUGUAGCAUCCGAAGACCAAGCGAUCCAACUGGUGAAAGAAGCAAGAGAACUUUGCAGCACAGGCAAACUCCGGCUGCAUAAGUUUAUCUCUAACAGCAAGAAGGUCCUAGACACAAUCCCAAAAGAAGAAUGUGCUGCAGCUGCCAAAGACAAGGACAUGGCACUGGGUGAACUGCACAUGGAAAGAGCACUCGGUGUGCAGUGGUGCGUGGCUUCUGAUGAGUUCCAGUUCAGAGUAAUCGUCAAGGAGAAUCCACUUACUCGAAGAGGAGUCCUGUCCACAGUCGCUUCAGUCUACGACCCUCUUGGAUUUGUGGCACCGUUCAUCUUGUUGGGAAAGCAGAUCCUGCAGCAGAUGUGUCGUGACAAGCUCAGUUGGGAUGACACCUUACCUGAUGACCUACGACCUCUGUGGGAAAGCUGGCUUCAAGACCUGCGAAAUCUAGCCGAGGUGAAGAUUCCAAGAUGCUACGUUCCAUCAAGCUUCAAGGUCCAACACUACGAACUCCACCAUUUCGCCGAUGCCAGUGAGUCAGGCUAUGGAGAGUGCUCGUACCUCAGAGCAGUGAGUACGUCAAGUGAAGUCCACUGUUCCUUUGUAAUGGGAAAGUCGAGAGUCGCUCCUACUAAGGUCACAACCAUACCAAGACUCGAGCUGUCAGCAGCAGUGGUAGCUGUCCGCACCAGUGACAUGCUCAAGAAAGAACUGGAAAUAGAAUGCCUACAAGAAGUCUUCUGGACUGAUUCAAGAGUGGUCCUUGGUUACAUCAAUAAUGAAGCCAGAAGAUUUCACGUGUUUGUGGCAAAUCGUGUGGAACGCAUCAAGCAAAGCACAGAGUCUACACAAUGGAAGUAUGUGGCUUCAGAAGAUAAUCCAGCAGACUACGCCUCAAGAGGUCUCACAGCAGAGCAACUGGUAUCCUCUAACUGGUUCACAGGCCCAGACUUUCUUUGGCAGAAGGAGUUACCAAGUGGAGAUGUCAAGGUGGGAGAGAUCACAUAUGACGAUCCUGAGCUUAAAGGUCCCAUGACAUGA
rnacentral:lncRNA from 1 species